CUGAAUAGGACUGUCCUUCUGUAAAGGAGAAAGCCUAAAAUGGGAUAUGCUGUGAAAGCAGAGCUUGUGUAGAAGCUCCCUGUGUGGCUUUGGAGUAAUAUUCCUCCUUGAAAAGAUGCACUCAAGCAAAACACCAAAAAGCGCAUAGAAGAUUUGUAUCUGAGCUCCUUUGGCACCUCUGCCUUGGUGUUGUUGCCUCUCUGGCAAAAUGUCCAAUGAUUUCAUUGCACUGGAGAAGUCCUGUGAGCACCCUAUAUCAACCUGAAAUAAACCAUGUCAGCAACUGCACCCAGCCCCUGAAAAGCAAACAUCUGCACUAAAAAGCUGUUCCACUGGUGUGAUGAACUUCUCCCCAUCUUCCUUCUCUGAAGAGCACAACACCUAACUGGAGCACAAGGACAAUUUUGGACACUACAGAAAUGGCACAGAUCCUCCUAGAAAGAUCUUGUUCUCACAUGGAGCUCUCCUGAAGCCAAUAAGGCACCCAAGGAUUCUACAAAAUUCAGAAGGCUCAGUGUAUUUAGAAAAGUUUUUAAUACUUAAAAUUAACCUGUAAUUGCUCUGUCUUCUCUUUUCAACAUAAAGUUUUUCUGCUCCCAGUGCAGAAUUGUUCAAGAAAAUUUUUUAUCCACACUUUUCACCCUCUCUUCCCUGUCUCUAGGGCCACCACAUUGUGAGCUAGAGGUUUAUUUGUCAACCCAUCUAGGCUUAGCAUACGCAUUUAAAGGCUCUUGUUGACAAACUGCAUCGUCAACGACCUCUCCAAAAUGUACUGCUUAGAGCUAAAGAACAUAUUUUUUUCAGCAGCGGUUUUUAGGUUGAAUGAACGGUAUUGGUAUUGAUAGAAAGGCUGUUAGUACCUUCUGUCGAGGAAGAAAUAAGGAUAGUAAAGGUGGAGAGCGAAGCUCAAACUUUUAAAAGGGAGAGAAAGAAUCGUGUUCAGUUUGAAAUUUAGGUCAGAACUACUCCAGAUUUAUUUUUGUACAGGUUCAUUUUCACCUGCUUCACUGGCCAUGAAGAAAAUCUGUCUUCUUUUUCAGUUAUUUCAGACAGUACAAAUAAUGUGUAUGGAGCAUGUUUCACCACCUUGAUUCCAAGGGGUUGUUAAUCUCGCAGGGCUGACGGAAACCCAAUCAAGGCGUGUUGUUUGAUUAAGUUGGAGUCAACAGUAAGAAAAAGGAGCUUGCUGAGACACUGGAUGCGUGAAGGCCCGUACUGGAGGAGAAAUGGGAUUUCACAAAAAUGGGGCGCUUUGACAUAGUGACAGAUGAGCUGAGGAGCUGCAACGCUCACAGACCUGUUUUAAAUGGAUUAAAAUGUUUUCUUUCCAUUGAGGAUCUUGCUAAGUGUAUCCCAGGCAUCACUAGUUAUGCCUGCUGCAGAACAGAGAAAGCUAGGACUCCGUUUUAGGCUCUGUGUUUAAGAAUCAUUUGCUUUUGCUCUCCAGUUCCACAUCUGAAGUCAUAAAAAUUGUAACAGUUUCUAACUAAAUGUCAUGGGAUAUGCAAAGGAUUAGGCGUUCACGUGAGAGCUAAGUAGCAGAAGCAGAUGAGCUCUUAAGAAACAAUGAUCCCGGUUUUAUGCAAAUAGGCCUGCUAAAAGCGAAUGAGGGGAGAGGAAUAUGGAAAUAGAUGAUAAUAAUAAUACAGUAGAGUAACCAGAAUUAUUCUGAAUAGAUUUCUCUAUUAAGAUUUUCACGAGGCAUCAGCUGCUCUUUCUAAUUCUUUUCUUCACAUUACCAUCAAAGUAUGCCUUAUCAAAAUAUACAUAUUUCCCGCUGCA